rnacentral:lncRNA from 1 species
GAUGACUAGCUCGAUGCUGCAGUUGUGUGUCUAGUUCUUUGACCUGAGGUGCAUCGACGGUUCACCUUAAGUAUGUUAUAGUUUGACUACACCAUAACUCAAUCUUCUAGCCAUUCGAAAUCCUGAGGUGUAUGUUGGCUGUAGCAUAUUCAUUGUAGGAACCAGAUCGCACCAAGAUGGGAUCUAUCAACCUCGGUAGAUGAGAGGAGUAGUCCUAUGGUGAUCGAAAGAUCGAGUCCUUAAGCCCAUGGCCAU